rnacentral:rRNA from 1 species
UGCCAGCCGCCGCGGUAACACGUAAGGAGCGAGCGUUGUUCGGAAUUAUUGGGCGUAAAGGGCUCGUAGGCGGUUUUGUAAGUCUGGCGUGAAAUAACGAGGCUCAACCUCGGAGACGCGCCGGAAACUGCAAGGCUUGAAUCUUGGAGGGGGUACUGGAAUUCCUGGUGUAGGGGUGAAAUCUGUUGAUAUCAGGAAGAACACCUGAGGCGAAGGCGAGUACCUGGCCAAAGAUUGACGCUGAUGAGCGAAAGCGUAGGGAGCGAACAGGAUUAGAUA